AACGCACAUUGCGCCCCCUGGUAUUCCGGGGGGCAUGCCUGUCCGAGCGUCAUUACAACCCUCAAGCCUAGCUUGGUGUUGGGCUCCGCUGCCUGGCGGGCCCUAAAGUCAGUGGCGGUGCCGUCCAGCUCCGAGCGUAGUAAUUCUUCUCGCUCUGGAGGCCUGGGCGCGUGCUUGCCAGCAACCCCCCAAUUUUUAUCAGGUUGACCUCGGAUCAGGUAGGGAUACCCGCUGAACUUAA
rnacentral:misc_RNA from 1 species